AUGAGAGGGUCAACGGACGACAAUCCGAUAUGUGUCACCGACAGUGAAGAAAGAACAAUCAUUCGAGCUAACCAUGAUGUGAGAGCGACAAGCAGUCGUAAACCAUUGCACAUCAGCAACAAAAGAGGUAUAUCAGUUUACCAUCCUCGCUGCCUUGACACUUUAGCACAACACAAUGCAAGUUCAUGUACCAUCCGAUCUUUACUGAUGCUUGUUUUCCACUUUUCUGUUAUCAAAUAUCAAGAGAAACACCACUAUGCUAAGAAGCGAAAGGUUCAGUCCGAUAGGACUUUGACACGGGGUAACAUGCCCAUCUCCUUUUCUCAUGGUUAA
rnacentral:rRNA from 1 species